UACGUAGGGGGCAAGCGUUGUCCGGAUUUACUGGGUGUAAAGGGCGCGUAGGCGGACUAUUAAGUCAGAGGUGAAAUCCUGCAGCUUAACUGCAGAACUGCCUUUGAUACUGAUGGUCUUGAGUUCGAAAGAGAGAGAUGGAAUUCCGGGUGUAGUAGUGAAAUACGUAGAUAUCCGGAGGAACACCGGAGGCGAAGGCGAUCUCUUGGUUCGAUACUGACGCUGAGGCGCGAAAGCGUGGGGAUCAAACAGGAUUAGAUACCCUGGUAGUCCACGCUGUAAACGAUGAAUACUAGGUGUUGGGAGAUACUCUCAGUGCCGCAGCAAACGCAUUAAGUAUUCCACCUGGGGAGUACGAUCGCAAGGUUGAA
rnacentral:rRNA from 1 species